CGAAGGUGCAAGCGUUACUCGGAAUUACUGGGCGUAAAGCGUGCGUAGGUGGUGGUUUAAGUCUGUUGUGAAAGCCCUGGGCUCAACCUGGGAAUUGCAAUGGAUACUGGGUCACUAGAGUGUGGUAGAGGGUAGCGGAAUUCCCGGUGUAGCAGUGAAAUGCGUAGAGAUCGGGAGGAACAUCCGUGGCGAAGGCGGCUACCUGGACCAACACUGACACUGAGGCACGAAAGCGUGGGGAGCAAACAGGAUU
rnacentral:rRNA from 1 species